CUCUUGUCAUGAGCUGCCAAGGCUAUGGAAGCCGUUUGAGUUCACCAACUCUGAUCUUAUUUAGACAAGGCCACAGUCAAAGUAGAAGUUCUCUCUUCCCUUCAGAGAAAGUAGAAAUUCUUGGAGAAGCAACGACAGUAGAAACAGCACACUAAUGAAAGAGGCAAGCGAGAGUAACCCUAUUCAGAUAGUCAGAGGACAUGAAGUGGCUGAAUGGAUUUUCUAAAAAAAAAUCUCAACUACAAGCUGAUUACAAAAUACUCGCAUUAGCUCCAAGGGCACAAGUGUGCUGCCUUGGAAGAAAUGGAAGAGAUGUUACAUGCAAGUGGAACCCGGAAGAUGCCAGGGGACACUGUCCUUACAUCAGAUAAAAUAGAUUGAGGAAGAGGAAGCUGGGCAGCAGAAGUAAUAGAAAGAUAGACUGCAGGCCAAUUAACGGCUGCUUUACACAGUGAUCUGCCAUCAAGGAGACCCAACUCCAAGUCCACUGUGGAAAGCCAGGGCUUCGGCAGAAGUCAGCUCAUGGAGAGCCCUGGCCGCUCUGCUAGCCAAGUGUUGGGUCACUGGAAAUGAACUGCUCUGGAGUGGGACUCCCAGCUUCCAAGGGUCCCUACAUGUGAGUGAUGGUGUCUUGGAUCCUCACAACUAGCGUCUCUGUCAGCUGAGUGCCUCCUAAUGACCUCAGUCAUCAAAAGUGAUCCCUGCACCAAUUCCUCACCCAUAGAUUUGUAUUUGCUCAUUUGAAAGAGUUACGGAGCAAGAGGAAGAGACGCAGAGAGAGAUCUUCCAUCUGCUGGUUCACUUCCCAAAUGGCUACAACAGCAGGACUGGGCCAGGCUGAAGCUAGGAGCCGGAAGCUUCCUCUGGGUUUACCACAAAGCCCCAGAGCCUGCUUUGAAGGAGAAUAAGAGCCCUGGAGAGGGAGGAAGAUGAAUGGCAAGGCAAGCGUGGACUUCAGGAGGGGAGAUCUCAUUGGGUCGCUCAUUUACUUGUUCAGUACAGUUGCUUUUACUCAAGACGGAGUGAGAGGGCAUUCCUGUGCCAGGUAACCAUGCUUGAGCUUCACGAUUCAGGCAGGAAGCAAAGGAUAUAUGUCCCGGGAAUCAAUUCAAUGUGAUGAUUUGCUAAGUUUUCAUGAAUACUAAAAGGAAAAGGUCUGCUAACAUAAAAACUGCAAUGCAAUGGGGUCUUCGGGGGCUGGGCAUUGGUGAGGUCUACAUUAUCGCUUUUUGAUCCUCCAUUUAUCCUUUUCUGAAUAUGAAUAAACUACACCUUGAGAUUUAGUUUAAAAUUAAGGAAAAUUAAUGAUCCCAUUUGAAAAUCAGGCUCUGCUAUGCUAUUGUUCUUUAAGAAAGUAAAGAAACCUUAUCAACUUUAAUUAGGAGUUCUCAUUCCUUCUCUUUCUCACUCUUAAAUUGUUAUAAUUUUUAAAUUUUAUUACUUAAAUUUUUGGUUAGCAUGUAAGACUUGUAAAUUUCUGUGUGUUACAGAGGAAUAUUUCAACAGAUAAACACAGCAUAAGCUGAUCAAACCAGGCAAGCAACCGCUCCAUCCCCUUUUUCUUUGUGUUUGGAGCCUGCCAGCUCCCCUCCCCCAGGUCUUUAUACAGUGUAAAACACAUGAUGGUGAGCCAUUGUCGCCCCACUGUGCUGCAUAGCAUGAGAACAUGCUACUUCUCCAUUGUUGCCCAUCCUCUGUCCCCAGCCUCUAGUAACCACUAUUUUGCAUUCAGACCGACUAUUCCUUAACUUUCAUUUAUUUAUGAGGAAGAAUUUGUCUUUCUCAGUUUGACUUAUUUCACUGAACAUAAGGAUCUCCAGUUCCACCCAUUUAGCUGCAAAUGUCAGAAUUUCAUUAUUUUUUAAAUAACAAUGAUAUUCUAUUGAGUAAAUAGAACACAUU